rnacentral:rRNA from 1 species
AGUAACGCGUGGGUAACCUGCCUUAUACCGGGGGAUAACAGCCAGAAAUGACUGCUAAUACCGCAUAAGCGCACGGCACCGCAUGGUGCAGUGUGAAAAACUCCGGUGGUGUGAGAUGGAUCCGCGUCUGAUUAGCUUGUUGGCGGGGUAACGGCCCACCAAGGCGACGAUCAGUAGCCGGCCUGAGAGGGCGACCGGCCACAUUGGGACUGAGACACGGCCCAG